CUAACACAGGGGACCUGUCAGCAUCGUAGAGGACUCGGGUCUUAAAGACGUACUACGGUUGGCAUGUUUUGAAUUGUGCAAUAAUGACAGAUUUACACAUUUUUCUUUUGUUUACAGUAAAUAAAUAAUAAACAAAUACAAAUCUUAAAGUCAAGUUCAUACAGUAACUUUCUUUGCAUUAAUUUGAUUCCCAGAUGAGAAUUGCUUUCCAUUGUUAAUAUGUAUGCUACUUAAAGACAGUUCUGAAAUGCAAAAUAAUUUUAAUCAUGUGAGAAAACAUGCGAUUAAUGGUGAUUAACUAUAGAAGUUCAGCAAUUAAUCACGAUUAAGAAAAAAGGAAUGGUUUGACAGCCCU